UACGUAGGGUGCAAGCGUUAAUCGGAAUUACUGGGCGUAAAGCGUGCGCAGGCGGUUAUGCAAGACAGAUGUGAAAUCCCCGGGCUCAACCUGGGAACUGCAUUUGUGACUGCAUAGCUGGAGUGCGGCAGAGGGGGAUGGAAUUCCGCGUGUAGCAGUGAAAUGCGUAGAUAUGCGGAGGAACACCGAUGGCGAAGGCAAUCCCCUGGGCCUGCACUGACGCUCAUGCACGAAAGCGUGGGGAUCAAACAGG
rnacentral:rRNA from 1 species